rnacentral:lncRNA from 1 species
CUUAGCGGCCCCGGCAUCAUGUCAUAUUUAGAUACACUGGAGUCUCAUAAACCCAGGCAUAAUGGAGAUCUGUUUCUUUCAGAGUCCGCAGAACAGAGCCUGUGGUCAAGGACAGCAGGUUGACUGAGGAGGAAAAUAAAGAGCAUAAGGAGACUGGAGAAGAAGUGUGUAUUUGGUACAAAAUAAAUAUCAGCAUCGGCAUCAAAUUGUACAACCCAGGCUCCUUAUCGAAACGUACCCCUAUAUACAUUUCUGGAGAACGCGAAAUAUAUCCCAGAAGGUACGUUUUUUUGCAGUUUUUUUUUUUGCAAAUUCACCAGAAGCUACUGUUUACU